CUACGUUCGCUUUCAGAUGUAUUUUAAAUAAUUCGGAAAACUUUGUUUCGACAAACUAAGAAAUGCAUUUUUUAAGAGAGAUAAGAUGGCCUCACCGACAAAGAAGAGCAAUGAUUACUCUCCAAAUUGUAAAGAAAAAAUACAACUCACACGGAAAUGUUGUCCGAAUCGUUUAGCCAGUCCAAUAAACAGAAUUCAACUCUCAAAAAAUGCAAACGACAGUCUUAAUUGUACAGCAGAAGUUGAAGAAGAUCGAGAACAUAGCAAGUGUAUGCAUUUAAUCUAAAAUUGAUCUGCAAAUCAAAGGAACCUUUUCACGUUUUGGUAAAUUGACAAAUCUGAAAAAAAAUCUUUGAGAUUCGCAAA